CUGGAUUUCCGUAAUCCAGUUUUCCAAUUUCCAGUUGAACUUGUUGACUGAAGUUGAGUACGACACUACAACGACAGUGUGAAGUCUUGCCAGGGAUUUUGAAUGCUGAGCAAUGAAGAAGCUGAGGUUUUGCUCGUAAAGAAACUUGCAACAGAGACCAAGAUACAAAAGCUCUAGUAGAGUCCUUUCAAAUUGAGCCCGCUAUUCCGAAGGAAACUGAAAGGACCCAGUGACUUAUGUGAUACACAUUGACUUCAGGAAUUAAAGAACAAACAAGCAGAAGCAACCCUGAAGAGGGUUUGAACAAACAAAAGGCUAAAUUAUCCAGUUUGAAAAAAUGUAUUAUUCUACUUUUAAUACUUUAAAGGGUUGUGAAUGCUGAGCAAGUUGAAGCUUUGCUAUCUUCAAGAGACCUUGACGCAAAAGCUCGGGCUCUUUUAGGCCUCUCAUAUUCAGCCCAACAUCCAGAAGGCAACAAAUUAUAUCCAGUUUGAAGUGACGAGACUAGUUCACUUCAGGAAAAGAGGAGGAAACCUUUAGGAGGGAUGACGCAAUACGACAACUUUCAAGAGAAAUACGUGGUGAAGAAACUUCAUGGAAGGAGGAAGAUAAACAUGGUAGAGGAAUGAAGGAAGUUGACAAUUUUGAAGAAAAAACCAAGCAAAAUACUUUGGGGUGAAGAAAAACCACGAGGAAAGGAGGAAGAAAAACCACGAAGAGGAUAUUGGUAGAGACUACAACUUUAGACGAAAUAAAAAAAAGUUUGGGUUGUUGAACAAUAACUGUUUCUGACAAACAAAUAUUUCUGGAAGUAAUGAACUAUGCUUUGCAGAUUUUUUCUUUUCACUUUUGUUAUAUAUACAGAUAAGUUACAUAUGUAUAUACAUGUUUAAGAAUGACCUCAAAGAUAUAAU